AUUGAACGCUGGCGGCAGGCCUAACACAUGCAAGUCGAGCGGAUGAAGGGAGCUUGCUCCUGGCUUCAGCGGCGGACGGGUGAGUAAUGCCUAGGAAUCUGCCUGGUCGUGGGGGAUAACGUCCGGAAACGGGCGCUAAUACCGCAUACGUCAUGAGGGUGAAAGUGGGGGAUCUUCGGACCUCACGCUAUCAGCUGAGCCUAGGUCGGAUUAGCUAGUUGGUGGGGUAAAGGCUUACCAAGGCGACGAUCCGUAACUGGUCUGAGAGGAUGAUCAGUCACACUGGAACUGAGACACGGUCCAGACUCCUACGGGAGGCAGCAGUGGGGAAUAUUGGACAAUGGGCGAAAGCCUGAUCCAGCCAUGCCGCGUGUGUGAAGAAGGUCUUCGGAUUGUAAAGCACUUUAAGUUGGGAGGAAGGGCAGUAAGUUAAUACCUUGCUGUUUUGACGUUACCAACAGAAUAAGCACCGGCUAACUUCGUG
rnacentral:rRNA from 1 species